UUUUACGGAUUCACGGAUUUCUGCGGAUUUACAGAAGUAAAUCCAUAUCCAAUCCAUCGACUGUGGAUUUUUAAAUUUUUAAUCCAUAUUCAAUCCACCAAUCCACGGAUCGGAUUUAUACGAAUCGGAUUCAGCGGAUCAGACGGAUUGAGCGGAUCGGAUUGGAUUCUGAACACCCAUACUCUUUCAUAUUAUGUUUAAUUAAAUAAAAUGAUGGGUUAUUAUUACCUGUCAAGUAUGUGAGUGUCUCUGUUUGAUUUAGUUCAACUUAUAAAAUCUCUAGAGAUAUAUAAGAGAUUUUCUUUGUUUACUUUCAUGUACCGCGUCUUCUUGUAAAAAGUAAUUAAUAUAAAAAAAUAUCAUUGUGUGCAAUGUAUUGACUAAGUUAGUGUAUUCAUGUUAGCUUAAUUGUGCUCUCUCUCCUUGGUUUUUUUUUUUAAAAAAAAAAACUCCACGUAUUGUUGGUUAGCUAAUUCUUGCAGCUAGCAAGUGAUCCUUUUCUUUCCCCUACUGCCGUAGCAUCAAAUCCUUACAAUUACAUAUCAAGUGGUAUUCGAGCCGUCAAAUGAUCCAUGGAAACACGCAACAAAUCAAAUGCUGAAUUUUGCGAAGAGAUUCACGAAAUCUUUGCUAUACAUGAGUCUAGUUUUGACCAAGUUCACGUCACCCAUCAGCUGCGGGUUUGAAUGGUACCUAGUGGAUAUUUUGUGAGUUACCACUAAUAAAAUCACACUUGCAACAAAACUUAAAAAUUUAAAUUACGUAAUUCAAAUUAUAAAUUUAUAAUCGUAGCCUAAAAAAUCACAUAAAAUACUUAAUUCUAGAUUUUAUCAAUGUAAAUGAGAAAUGAAAGUUUUAACAUUAAAAUAAAUACACAAAAUAUAUCAAUUUAACACAAAUUCUCAAAUUUAAUUACUAAAUACAUAAGUCUAUCGCAACUCAAAGUGCUUUCAAUUGAAAACGAAAAAAGAGAAAGAGAAAAAAAAACUACAAAUCAAAGUAGCACCCAUGACCCAUUUCGCGGUCUCAUUCAAUACCACUAGCACCCAUCCAACACGAUUUUUCUAAACAAAGUGUAAAGUACAAAAUUAUAAUAAGCAUAUCAUACUCCAUGUUUUAAGUUAAAGAUCGUUAUAU
rnacentral:lncRNA from 1 species